rnacentral:rRNA from 1 species
UACAGAGGUGGCAAGCGUUGUUCGGAAUUACUGGGCGUAAAGGGCGCGUAGGCGGCACCGCAAGUCGACUGUGAAAUCUCCGGGCUUAACCCGGAAAGGUCAGCCGAUACUGCGGGGCUAGAGUGCAGAAGGGGCAACUGGAAUUCUCGGUGUAGCGGUGAAAUGCGUAGAUAUCGAGAGGAACACCUGCGGCGAAGGCGGGUUGCUGGGCUGACACUGACGCUGAUGCGCGAAAGCUAGGGGAGCGAACGGG